rnacentral:rRNA from 1 species
AUUGAACGCUGGCGGCAGGCCUAACACAUGCAAGUCGAGCGGUAGAGAGAAGCUUGCUUCUCUUGAGAGCGGCGGACGGGUGAGUAAUGCCUAGGAAUCUGCCUGGUAGUGGGGGAUAACGUUCGGAAACGGACGCUAUUACCGCAUACGUCCUACGGGAGAAAGCAGGGGACCUUCGGGCCUUGCGCUAUCAGAUGAGCCUAGGUCGGAUUAGCUAGUUGGUGGGGUAAUGGCUCACCAAGGCGACGAUCCGUAACUGGUCUGAGAGGAUGAUCAGUCACACUGGAACUGAGACACGGUCCAGACUCCUACGGGAGGCAGCAGUGGGGAAUAUUGGACAAUGGGCGAAAGCCUGAUCCAGCCAUGCCGCGUGUGUGAAGAAGGUCUUCGGAUUGUAAAGCACUUUAAGUUGGGAGGAAGGGCAGUAAAUUAAUACUUUGCUGUUUUGACGUUACCGACAGAAUAAGCACCGGCUAACUCUGUG